rnacentral:rRNA from 1 species
UACGAAGGGUGCAACCGUUGCUCGGAAUUAUUGGGCGUAAAGCGCACGUAGGCGGCUUUGCAAGUCCCAUGUGAAAUCCCACGGCUCAACCGUGGAAGUGCAUGGGAAACUGCAGAGCUUGAGUACUUAAGAGGAUCGCGGAAUUCCCGGUGUAGAGGUGAAAUUCGUAGAUAUCGGGAGGAACACCAGUGGCGAAGGCGACUACCUGGCCUGUUCUUGACGCUGAGGCGCGAAAGCUAGGGGAGCAAACGGG